rnacentral:misc_RNA from 1 species
CUGUAACGCUUGCCUCACUUCGUCUCUCCCAGCCACCCUCUAAUUUUCUUGUCGCGGACGUCUCUUUCACUGCUCAUCCUUCUUCUUCCGGCCAUCAGUCUCACCGCUCGCCUUUAGCUCUUUUACUCUCCAGCAACCGUCUCCUGCCAUCAGCCAGGCGUGCGCAACUCAUACAGCAGCAGUUCCAACGAAGCACAUCAGUUGUGCGGUCGUGCCUUAACGUUGGACCUCCACUUCCACUCCCUCUCUUUGGUCGAGCUUCACCUGUUCGCCGAUCUGGCUGCCCGUCGUCCUCUCCAUGUCCCGCGCCUUGGUCCGGUCUCGGCUGCUGUUAACCAUCGCGUCCGGACAUCAGUGCAUGUCACCUUCGGUUUCUCCCUGC